CAAGACGUAGCUAUAAUAAAAGCAUUCAGCUUACACCUGAAAGAUAUCUGUUCCAUACCAGAUCGCCUUGA
rnacentral:tRNA from 1 species